rnacentral:rRNA from 1 species
GACGUAGGAGGCGAGCGUUGUCCGGAUUCAUUGGGCGUAAAGAGCACGCAGGCGGUUUGGCAAGUCGGAUGUGAAAACCCGAAGCUCAACUUCGGGCCUGCAUCCGAAACUGCCCGACUAGAGGUAGGUAGGGGAGAUCGGAAUUCCUGGUGUAGCGGUGAAAUGCGCAGAUAUCAGGAGGAACACCGGUGGCGAAGGCGGGUCUCUGGACAGUUCCUGACGCUGAGGCGCGAAGGCCAGGGGAGCAAACGGG